rnacentral:lncRNA from 1 species
UUGGCUUGUUACAAUAGCUUAGCUGUUUAGUUAAAAUCGAUGUGCCAAUCGAUUAUGCAAUAUGUUUUUGAUAAAUGAUUAACCAGUUCAUUCUUUCAAUCGAUUACCUAAUCGAUUAAUGCAAAGCUUGCAACUCAAGAAACAUCUAUCAAUCGAUUAUCUAAUCGAUUAGUGCAAAGCUUGCAACUUAAGAAACUUAUUUCAAUUGAUUGUCCAAUCGAUUUUGUUGAUCACAGAACACAUGUCUGAUGAAAAAGCAUUUUCAUAAUCGAUUUGCCAAUCGAUUGACUCAGUAUGAACUUGGUUCUGUGAAUCACAAAGUCGAUUACUCAAUUGAUGUGCAAAUCGAUUGUCCAAUUGAUUUGUUUAAACACAGAACACAGGUUUUGAUAAAAACCUUUAAGUAAUCGAUUUCCCAAUCGAUUACCUUAGUGAAACCUUUAUUCUAUGAGUCAGAC